rnacentral:rRNA from 1 species
UCGAGAAUCUUUCACAAUGGGGGCAACCCUGAUGGAGCGACGCCGCGUGGAGGAUAAGGUCUUCGGAUUGUAAACUCCUGUCAUGCGAGAACAAGGUUGUAGAGUUAAUAGCUUUGCAAAUUGAUGGUACCGCAAGAGGAAGAGACGGCUAACUCUGUGCCAGCAGCCGCGGUAAUACAGAGGUCUCAAGCGUUGUUCGGAAUCACUGGGCGUAAAGGGUGCGUAGGUGGCGUGGUAAGUCAGAUGUGAAAGCCCGGGGCUCAACCUCGGAAUUGCAUCCGAUACUGCCGUGCUAGAGUACUGAAGAGGUGACUAGAAUUCUCGGUGUAGCAGUGAAAUGCGUAGAUAUCGAGAGGAAUACCAACGGCGAAGGCAGGUCACUGGGCAGUUACUGACACUGAGGCACGAAGGCCAGGGGAGCAAACGGGAUUAGAUACCCUUGUAGUCCCUGAGCGGGCUGGCAAGGCGCAU